ACUUUGAUCAGCUCGCCCUAAAUUAGAGCAGAGGCGUUAGCCAAAAUGCAAGCAACCCGGGAAUUUGAGCUUGAAUACAAGUCAGAGCUCGCAGGACUGUGUUGGUCAUGAAAGCAUCUUUAUUCUUGAUCUGCAGGAAAGAUUUCCUCGUGCUGUUUUCUGUGCAGAACUGAUGGGAUCGGGAUUACUGUCUAUCAGGCGACAAGGGAACCCGCCAGCUCACAGAAGAAGAACCCCGAAUCUUUUGAUGUUCACGCAACUCUGUCUCUGCUGAAAGAGCCUCUCCUUUCCUUAACCCAGAUCACCAGUCAAUGCACCCACCUCCAGAUUUUCAGCAAGGAAGAGCAACGGAAGCAAAGUUAACUGGCAGAAAAGAGCUGGAAGGCAGGUCGCUCUAAUUAUGCAGGAGCCUCCCUGGAGAGUUUGGAAGCCCAAAUCCUACUGACUUUGGAGCUUCCCCAGGUGCACUUCUGCGUUUGAGGACAGAACUCUGCCUUUGCGUUUCACACACCGUCUCACCCGAACGGCCACACUGUAGGGAUCUGAGACUUCCCAGAAAGCAGGCGUGCCUUCAUGCCAAACCCUACUGGGUUACGAGUGCGAUGGGCUGGAGCAGGUGGCACAGGGUGGCUUGAGAGAUCUGCCAAAACCAGUGUGCCUUCUGCCAUCUUGCCUUCACAUCCCAGGCUGCCCCAGGUGCUGGGUCAAGAGUGUGCUGCUACCUGCAGAACUGGCAGGUGGCCUGGGCCAGCAGCACUUGGGCUUUGCCCCGCCUGACUUGCAGGUAUAGGCACUUCACUGAAUGAUGCCCAGAUGCUCUCACCAGCCCUUCGCCUUCCAGCAGAGGACAAACCUGCACAAGGCUGACGGCUCACGGGCUGAGGUUACGGAGGUGAACUCUGAAGACCUCUGGCUUUCUCUCUGCCCUGCACUUUACAUAGGAGUUGGGACAGAGCCGAAAUGGGACAAAGUGUUUCCACCCCACACUUUCAUGACUGGAAUUUUGAGCCAUUCAUUUUUUUUGGAAUUAAAAGCUGCUUUUUACAUAAGUAAUACACAAUAAGUCGGUGAAUACCAAUUAAAAGCAUAUUUCACAAAAUUAGACUUUCAGUUGCCUGUUCUGUUGAAUAUCAGUCGGUAAUAAGCUUUCCUCAUUUCCCUGAGCAUGUAAUUUUUCCCUUGAAUUCUUGAGUCACUGCUUUGAUCACUUCUUGAUUGCUUAAAGGCUGUGAGUCAGUAAUAUUUCCCAGUUUCGUUGUCACAUCAAAGAUCUUUGAGGGGCUUUCUCCAAUAGAAGGCAGCCAAGAUUCCUGGUUGACAUAGUUCAUCACCAUGCCGAAGCUAUGCUGCACAAAUGAAAAUAGGGAAUAAUGCAUCACCUUUAGCCAUUCGUGUAAUCAUUUGAAUAAUAUGUAUCACCUCCUUAAAUGGGCCAGCUGCUACACAGCAUUUUUUUUUCUCGAAUUUUUACUCUUGAAAAUAUGGAGGGCACACAUUAAACAGGAAAGGUGAUUUUUAUCCAGACGUGCUGAUGAAUGGAAGCAAAGGCAGUUGCUUUCCUCUGUUUACAGAUUUUUGCUGUUGCUUUAUUCAGGCAUUUAUGACAUGAACAAUUCUGGCAUUGAAAAGCCUCACAUUUUUACAGAAACAUCAUUUAAUGUGAUAAUAUGCAAAGUAUGACAAAAGCCGUGAACAAUAUAAACAAUUUGCACAGGAUUCAGACUUUCAGUCUGGUACAGCAAUUCAUAUCCCACAGUGGCAGUUUCGAUCAACUUAAAUCAUUGAUUUAAUGCCUCACCACAGCACGCCAGAUCCUGACAUCGUCCCUCCGCUUUGGCUCGGGCUCCUCUUUGGCAAAACUCAGGCAGAUUUCCAAAGAAGCUGGAUGUGAGCAAAAUGAGAGCCAAAUUACCAUUGAGACCGGCAGCGGGACAGGGUUUUCCUCUGCUUGUGGGACGGGGGAAAGUCUAUUUCCCCACUACCUGCGGUGACCCAGGUGGCCCGCGGGGGCUCUGUCUUCAAAGCCUCUGGGCUUUCAUCGUUGGAUGCAAAACCCUGCAACGCUGAAGGAAGGGCUUCGUGCCCAGCCCUGCCUGAGCCGCCUGAAUCUUCAUUUUCCUUCCCUGGUGGGAGAGCCGGGGCGUGCCUGGGCAGCCCUUUGGGAUGCAUUGGGGGUCCCUUCUCCCACAGAGGGAGAAAUGGGUGGGGGAAGAGACUUGCUUUGGUAUUUCCUGAAAGCAAAAGGUCUCUCUGAAGAAGGAUGUGAAGCUUGUGGCAAAUUUAACUUCUACAGGAGCUGCGAGUAUUUCCAGUGUGAACUUCGCUGCCAUCAUUCCUGGAGCAAAUAAAUUACAGUGGGAAGGUUUUUAAAGGAACACUGUCACCUUACAGCUCCUACGUUGCAAACAAACAAAUGCCUUUCCUUGUGUU